rnacentral:rRNA from 1 species
GACGAACGCUGGCGGCGUGCUUAACACAUGCAAGUCGAGCGGGAAGGCCCUGCUUUUGUGGGCUGCUCGGGUGGCGAACGGGUAAGUAACACGUGAGUAACCUGCCCUUGACAUUGGGAUAACUUCAGGAAACUGGGGCUAAUACCGGAUAGGAGCUACUGCUUCAUGGUGGGGCCUGGAAAGUUGCGGCGGUUGUGGAUGGACUCGCGGCUUAUCAGCGUGUGGGUGGGGUUGUGGAGUACGAGGGCUUUGACGGGUACCAGGCCUGUGAGGGUGACCGGCGACACUGGGGCUGUGAUACGCCCCAGACUCCUACGGGAGGCGGCAGUGGGGAGUAUUGUGCGAUGGGCGGAAGCGUGAGGCAGCAACGCCGCGUGCGGGAUGACGGGCUUCGGGUUGUGUACCGCUUUGGCCUGUGACGAGGCGGGAGUGACGGUAAUGUAUAAAGAAGCACCGGCUAACUACGUG